ACCAUUAUCUGCAAACUGGUGAAUCCACUAUUGAUCCAGAUGCAGUCAUGGUCCAAGACUGAAAACCUAUCGAGCUUCACUUCAGGGUUCCAGAAGAUGUCUAAGACUCAAAAGAGUCUUUUAUAACCAUGAGAGCAUCCUGUACCAUAUCUCAUUUCAUCACUUUCUAUGCUCCUUGUAUGAGAAUCUGAGGGCAACUAAUGCUUGGGAAGGCACAUGAACAAGAAUCCUCAAAAAGCAGUAGUCAAGGCUCAAAAGACAAUAGCACUGGAGGCAUUGCAGCUUUAUGCCAGGACUCCAGCUUCCCAGAUAUCCCUUUUAUUUCUCCGUACAGCCUAUACUUGGUGGACCAUAGGAACUGUCUGUUUUGCAGAACUGUACAUAAACCUCAUCCUACUUCUAGAUGUCAUUAUAACAGCUUUACCUUUCCAUAUUGCAGGGAUGGUCUAAUUUAGAGUGUGGUUUGGCCCACAGAUAAGGAAAAAAAAACAGAAACAGUUCGGAAGAGUAACAACCAUGAUUACCUUAAUGGAACAACUCCAAUAAACAUAUUCAGUGGUUGUAUUUAAUUGAACUCUUAAGAAUAAUUAUCAUACUAGACUCUCGAAUUCAGCUAUAAAAGUGUCUUUUUCCUAUUUAGUAUAAAAUAUGCUGGAACUAUGCCCAAAGAGAUGAUUUGGAAGAUUCCUGAGUGUAGGGAAAUCCUUAUAUUUAUGAAAUAGCCACACUAUGCAAUAUUCAAGGACCAGGCAAUGAACAUUCUGCCCAGAAAAUACUUCAAAUCUGUUUUUAUCUAUCUCAAAAUAAUGAGUUAAAUACUACAAAAAUUAUGCAUGAUUAAUUGUGAGUUAAAAGUAAAACUUGGAAAUGGCAUCUCACUUAACCUCAUGUCUUUCAAGAUGCUCUUAAAGCCUCUGAGCUUUGAUUUAAUUACAUUUACAAGACUUAAUUAAUACUUGAUACCUACCUUAAGAUGACAGGGAUUUCAUUUUAUCUGCACCUCCUUUCAUUCACUUUGGCAACCAAACUUCAUUUUUUUGCCUGUUGUUGGCAAAUGACUUGAAAGACAGUAUUUUAAUCCUGUUUUUGCACUGAAAAAGUAUCGGUAUGAGAUUUAUAGACCCACUAUUACACAGUUAAGGCAGCUCUAUAUUACUGGAAACAAAAUGGUUUGUGUAGAAUCUAUCCCUUGGUAUCUCUUAGAGCAAGAAUAACAGGGCCUGGCCUAUAUUCAGGUCGGAGCCUUAGAAUAGAAGCACUUAUAUAUAUAUAUAUACUUACAGAGGCUGAUAUUCAUGCUCUUUCUUAGGAUUCACAAGUCAAACAGGGCACAAGAAAGCAUAGUCAUGGUGGAGUAAGAAAAAGCCCAAAGAGACUCAGGUCCACAAAGAGCUUGGAAUAGGCCUUCAAUGUUCAUUUCUACCAUCGGAUCAGCAAAGGAAAAAGAACACCGGCCACACAAGAGAGAGGGUGUUUCAGGAAAAGCAAGUGCACAAGUCCUUAGAGAACAGUGCCUAAUACCCAAAGAAUGCUGAACAUUGGUAAAGCAACUGGGGGGAACAAUUUCAGAGCAUUUUAGUCUUGAUUUUGUCUAGAUUUCUUUUAAUGGUGUUCAGAAACCUUAGCAAACUGAGAAGUGACUAAUUUCCCUGCUGAAAUGAAUUACAAAUAUGGUGUACAAAGGCUGAAGUUCUCAGACAGUCUGUGCUCAAAUCCCAGGGCAAUCUUGCAUAUCAAGAAAAGGUCCCAAUUUGCUUGGGAUAGGUAUAGCCAUAGAAGUCUAAAGAAUGGUGGGGGGGAGGCGAACCUAAAGGCAGUGACAGGAACCUACUAUGUCUUAGGGAAUCUGCAAAGUGUAGCUCUGUGGACUUAUGAUCUGAUUUUGUAUCACUCAUAAGGCUCAAAUAAUUUAUCAGUAGAUCAAGUUCAUUUCACCUAGUCCAAACACUAAAUCUAUUUUAUGGCUUUUGUUCAUGGCUAACUGUGCACGAGAACUGCAAAGAUGCUUCAAUCUCUGCUCUUGUUGGAGACCGGGGCUUUGCAAGAAACAGCUUGGAGAAGGCAGCAGAAGAACGAGACAGCCAAAACACUGAGAGCAGUCCUACAGCUGAGUGAAAAUAAUAAUCAUCCAGAAGCCAUUUUAGGAAAGAAUAAGGAACUGCACCAUUCUGUAAAUAUUUUGAGCAAUGCUCUGUCAUUGUUGUUAUUUUUAUUAACACCUUUUAUGGUUUGGGGGAGUUUUAUUAAAUUAUAAAGGGGUGGACUAAAUGAUGCAUUGCUCACUGCAUCAGUUCGGGGCAAUAACACAUGCUGAUUUUAGUCAUCUAAUUGCAUUUGACUUGACCGCAGUAAAUCAGAGCCUGUUACAACACGUUAACUACCAUUAUAACCACAGUUAAGUUUGAUGCUUGAGAGGGGGCUAACUAAUCCACUUUUACAAGAAGGUAAAUUGAUUAAUCUAGCAUGGUUCACAGUAUGAAGUCUGGAUGCAUCUGUAAAAUUAAUAUCAGUUUCUGCAGCUCAGUACAUUUCAAAACACGUUGCAUUAUUGCACUGCUGCAUCUUUAACAGAACUAUAAAUAAGCCUUGGCUUCUUUUUUUUUUUCUUUUUUAGUAGCUAGUUCAAUGAAACUAUGCAGUAACAAUUCUGACAAUGCAAAGGAAGUAUUCACAGCUAGUAUAAAUCAGGGUUAUUUCACAAAAGGCAAUGGACUGAAGCUAGUUUAUGGCAGCUGGAGAUGUGGAUCAAAAUAGUAUUAAUGCGAAUCCUGCUGCAUGGAGCUAUUUAGAAUUAUUUGUGAAGUAACUAAUCCCCAGAAGCUUCUUUUCUGGUUAUUAAUCAAAAUAUGCUAGUUAUCCUGACCUGCUAAUAGUGCAGUUGGGAUAAGUUUGCAUUCCUCACACAAAAUUCUGCCUCAUCUUUUCAUACUAUAUAUAGUUUUAUUAUUUUGAUUGACAGUAGAACAAAAUAGCCUGCCUUUCAACCCCCCAAAUGAAAUCAAACGAACGCCACAGUACUUGAAUAUUAUAUCAAGAUAGAAUGUGACCUUAGAAAUCCUAUGGCCCAUCGUAAUUCUAAUCAACCAUUCUUUGUAUGUUUACAAAAGUGUGACUACAGAUGUUUGGCUUAUCGUCACCAGUUUUGAACACUAAAGCAUUCACACCCAGACACACAAGAAAGUUCCAAUUCUUUAACUUUCUCUUUUAAAAAAGUAUAGGUCUUUGGGGGAACAUUAUGAGAAAAUUCUUAUUAUUCUUGGAGCUAUUCCUGUUUAUAAAAUGCCAGAUCCCCAUAAACCAUAAUGAUGAUUAUGAGAUCUAUUUGAAAAAUAAUUGAAAGAAAUCAUUUUGCAGACUAUGCAGUUGAUAGAAUUCUCUGAGGCAGGUGCUGAGGAAAAUGCACUCCUCUGAAAUUUCAGUGUCAUCACAAGAUAUUGUACUUUGUGAGACUGCCUACUGCUAAUAAUCACUGCCAGGCAAAUACGUUCUCAAUACUGGAAAGGAAUGUAUUUUCUCUGGCUGCUGAAGUAAAGAAAAUGCUUUGUGAAGUGCAAACAUCCUUCAUCUUUCUCAGUGUUACUGGAGAAGUCAGAUUAUUUGAAAAUUUCUCCCUUCUAAAUGGACUGCUGCUCUUAUAGCUGAAAGAGAGUCUGAGGACAAAUAGAAUGAUAGCUGUUCCCAUAACAGAGAAGAUAAACUAAAGAUAUUACAGUAUAACAAGAUCCUAAAACAGACUCCUAAUUAACUUGAAAAUGAUGCUAAAUGAACAGAAGCCAUAGUCUUAGAUGCUUUCCUUACUACUAAUUUUUUCCUUCUUGGCAUGGCUUUAUUUCAGAGCUGAUGUAGAAGCAUAUAUUAAGUGUAUUAUUUAAUUCUUGCAUAAAGCUUAUUAUAUAACAUUAGAGAAUUUUAAUAGGUCAUGAAUUAUGCCAUGAUAGUAAUCUAUGCCUUUCUGCAAAGAUUUUUACAUGAGUCAGAAAAUGUAACACAAUGUAAAUUAAUGAAAAUAUGGUGAGUAAUGUUUUACUCUAAGCUUUGCUUAAUAUUUUGCUUAAUACUUUGCUUAAUAAAUAAAUUAACCUCAAAUUCACAUCUAUAUUUGUGAUUCAGCCAUUAUAGGUAGCUAGUCAGUAAAGAAUGAUCCAUGACUUAUGCUAGAUAGUAAGGUAAGUUCAGCUAGUACGAGGGUUCAGUGUCUUUUGUCCUCUAAGGAAAAGAAAAGAAAAGAAAAGAAAAGAAAAGAAAAGAAAAGAAAAGAAAAGAAAAGAAAAGAAAAGAAAAGAAAAGAAAAGAAAAGAAAAGAAAAGAAAAGAAAAGAAAGCUGCAUUAUGUUCACUUUAAAAGGGAAUCACCAGUUUCACAGAUAUGCAUAGAACGAUUGUUUGAUAUUGCCACAUGGAAUGUAAACAAUAUAUAGGCAUGGGAGUAUGACAUCAUCUAAAAUUCUGGAGGGUCAGUUAAACCCAGAAUAUCAAGGAAUUUUACACAUUAGCUUCUUGCUUUUUAUUAUUUUGAUAAACUAAGUGACAUAAGCCAAACUAUGUUACCAGUGUCAUUUUCAAAAGAAUUUCGAUCUUGUACAUUAUUUGGUCUGUUCGGAAAAUAAAACAUUUUCUGGCA